AAGAAAGAUAAAUUAUUGCCCCCCCGCCUCCGUCAGUCAAAGCUGAAGCAGCUGGAGCAGGAGGCUCAUCUGGCCGCCGGUCAGCAGUUCCUGGUGUCCAGCAACACUCAGCUCAGAACGGUUUUGUUUGAGAAGCUGCGUCUGCAUGACCGCUGCGAGCAAAAGAAACUUCCCAAGACCCUCCUCACGCAGCAGCAGUCAACAUCGGAGGCUGUGCUGCUGCAGCUUCAGGACCUCCACCCACUGCCCAUGAUCGUGUUGGAGUACAGGCAGGUGCACAAGAUCAAGUCCACGUUUGUGGACGGCAUCCUGUCCUGCACCUCCAACAUGGCAUUUGUCUCCCCCACAUGGAAUCAGACAAGGGCUGUGAGUGGCAGACUGUCAGCCAGACAUCCAGUGAGUCUCUUCCUGAUGAUGAUGAUGAUGAUGAUGAUGAGGAUAAUACACAUAUAUGGAUGCCAAGUCAGUUCUGAUGCUGGGUGGAGGGGUAUCAGCCUAAA
rnacentral:lncRNA from 1 species